AUGACAGCAGGCAGAGCCUGCAGGUCUUGCUUGGAUAUAAACCUUGAAGGAUUUGCUGACACAGAGAAAUAACCUCAAACAGCUCUUCCACAAGAGGUUCAUUGCUGUCUGGGAGAGGAAAGGUAAUUGCAGUACUUUGACUGGAAACAUGGGCAAGUGGUUCUCCAGAGGGAUGUUGUCUAGUUCCAGCCCUGCAAGAAAGACAAGAGAAAUAUCCCUUCCUUUCUUCCACUUUCAAGGUUUGUGCAUACACAUUUCCCUUGUGAGCAAAAUGUAUGGGUGACAUUGGCAAAUGUGACUGGACAAGAUACCCUUUGUCUCAGCACAGCAACUCCCCAGAAUCCUUUCACCAUGUGCCUGGUGGGAGUACCCCUCACCUCAAGUGAGUUCAAUGAUACGAUUAACCAUGUGCUGCCCGAAGUGCUGCCCGAAGGUCUACCUGUAAAACAGUGGGACAGCUGGCUGCCGCGUUUGGGUAAUUCACCUGCAUUACCCCCCUCAAGAACUUCGAAUCCUGGGAACAUUAAACACAGACUAUUGUACCUAUUUCAAUUAUACUAGUCAAAGCAAUAAUAUGGUUUCCUGGUGGGUAAAUGCCACAGUGCCUUAGUAUCGCAACCAUAUCCAAUGGUGUAAUUCUACGGGAAUGAACAUAACCACUAGCUAUAAUACACACAUGACUUUACCACAUGGACUCUUUUUGAUAUAUUGGGACCGUGCAUGGCCAGGACUGCCCAAAGCCAUAAAGGGUGGGCCUUGCACCUUGGGAUGACUGAUGUUACUUACAGCCAACAUUAUGUUAGCCAUAUGGUUGCAACAAAACCGGUCUCAUCACCAAACCACCCGUAACAUCCAUGCAUUUUCUCCCAACUGUAAGGAGACAGUGGAAAUCUGGGACCCGGUAAAAACCAUUGCUGCAUCUUUAUUUACCUCUGGGUGUUGCCAGUGUGCAACCCCUGACAACACUAAACCACCUCGGAUGCUGGUUAGCAAAAUUUAGUAACGCUACCAGUAGAGUUCUUUCUGAUUUGUUACUUGAUGUAGAUAGUAUACACCAUGCUAUGCUUCAAAAUUGCGCCGCUAUUGACUUUUUACUUUUAGCUCAUGGAUAUGGAUGUAAGGACUUUGACGGUUUAUGUUGCAUGAACUUAAGUGACCACUCGAAGUCAAUACAUGCACAAUUAAAAGAGAUACACCAACUGACCCAGCAAUUAGUGGAAGCAACUGGAUGGAAUCCAUUUGCUGGAUGGACAUGGGGGUGGGGUUGGUUAAAACAGUUAUUAUUGAUCUGGUGCAUAGGUGGCAUUUGUUUGCUAUGCCUGGUUUGGUGUAUACCAUGUCUAGUCAGUAUCAUUCAGCCUAUUGUUGAUACAGCUUUAUGCUGCACAAUGGUACGGGUUGUGGAAUACUGUUGUGUCCCAAUUAUGGACCACAUGGUGGAAUGUGUGAGGGAUUUUAGAUGAUGGCCUGAGUAGGGCCGCAACAGAAAAACUACAAGCUGAACACAGCUGUGAGAACGCAACCUUGAAGAAAGGAACUGGGAGGAUUGUUACUGAACAAUAUGUUGUUGCAAUCUGGGAGCCACUAUUAGCCGGCAGAGCACGUACCUGGCAGGCACUGGCCACGCAUGCAGCAAAGUCUAGUCAGUACUUUUCCACUGAAUCUGCUGAGGGUAUUGUCGUAAUUUAGCCGGCAGCUCAGCCCCACACAGUCACUCGCUCACUCCCCCACCGGUAGAUGGGGAAGAGAAUCAGAAAGGUAACGAUCGUGGGUUGGGAUAAGAACAGUUUAAUAAUUCCAAGCCCUCUCUAUCAAGUGACCUGGAAAAAGAAUCAUUUCAAAUGGGGCCCUGAGCAACAACAAGCCUUUGAACAGAUUAAACAAGAAAUAAUUCAUGCAGGAGGUCUCUGGGCCAGUCCAGGCAGGACAAGAUGUAAAAAAAGGUGUGUACACUGCAGCCGGGGAGAAUGGCCCAACCUGGAGCCUCUGACAGAAAGCACAUGGGGAGACCUGGGGUCGACCCCUAGGGUUUUGGAGUCGGGGAUACAGAGGGUCCGAAGCCCGCUCUACUCCAACUGAAAAAGAGAUAUUGGCAGCAUAUGAAGGGGUUCGAGCUGCUUCAGGAGUGGCUGGUACUGAAGCACAGCUGCUCCUGGCACCUGGAUUGCCGAUGCUGGGCUGGAUGUUCAAAGGGAAGGGCCCCUCUACACACCAUGCAACUGAUGCUACUUGGAGUAAAUGGGUUGCACUGAUCACCCAGCGGGCUCGAGUAAGAAUCCCCAGUCGCCCAGGAAUCUUGGAAGUGAUCAUGGACUGGCCAGAAAGCAAACAUUUUGGAUUAUCACCAAAGGAGGAGUUGACAUGUGCUGAAGAAGCCCCACUCUAUAACAACCUGCCAGAAGAUGAAAAGCAAUACGCCCUGUUCACUGAUGGGUCCUGUCAUCUGGUGCGAAAGCACUGGAGAUGGAAGGCUGCUG